UUUGUGAUUAGGUGAGAGAUUCACUCGCGGAAAAUGGGAGUCUCGAGGGGCUGUUUUCUGGUUCCGCAGCUCCGUGUGUCUCUCCCUGUGUUUCCAUCCUGUCGAACGCUCGGAGCCUGCCCUGCACACAUUUCAGAAGCGAAGGGCUUUCCUAAUUACAGUGCGAACAAUCCGAGGCUGGCUUUUCUCCUGCCGCUACCUGUUGCUCUGAAUGGAUUCGGUGAAAGGAAGCUUUGGGAUGGCAACACUGAAAUUCUAAGCCCUGCAAGAAGAGGCGACGUCACAGCACAGACAUUUGUGAGCAGCUGUGUUCAAGGGUGAAGCACAGGAAGAGUAACGUUUCAUCCAACAUCACUGAUGAACACCAUCAGACCUCACUGAGAGCUGCAGCCACUGCCGCCGAACCACACUGAUGUGUUAGCAAGGUCAAAUAUCCCACUGGUUUGAUGGCUUUGUUGCUCUCUUUUUUCUACUCUUAUAAUAAAAUAUUAAAAAUUAAAAUAA
ensembl:lncRNA